rnacentral:rRNA from 1 species
UGAGUAAUGUCUGGGAAACUGCCCGAUGGAGGGGGAUAUCUACUGGAAACGGUAUCUAAUACCGCAUAACGUCUUCUGACCAAAGUGGGGGACCUUCUGGCCUCACACCAUCGGAUGUGCCCACAUGGGAUUAUCUAUUAUGUGGGGUAAUGGCUCACCUAUGCGACAAUCCCUAUCUGGUCUGAGAGGAUGACCACCCACACUGGAACUGAGACACGGUCCACACUCCUACAGGAGGCACCACUGGGGAAUAUUGCACAAUGGGCGCAAGCCUGAUGCACCCAUGCCCCGUGUAUGAAAAAAGCCUUCUGGUUGUAAAGUACUUUCAGUGGGGAGGAAAGCGUUAAGGUUAAUAACCUUGUCGAUUGACAUUACCCGCACAAAAAACACCGGCUAACUCCGUGUCACCACCCGCGGUAAUACAGAGGGUGCAAGCGUUAAUCGGAAUUACUGGGCGUAAAGCGCACGCACGCGGUCUGUCAAGUCUGAUGUGAAAUCCCCGGG